rnacentral:rRNA from 1 species
CGGGACACGUGGUAUCCUGUCUGAAUAUGGGGGGACCAUCCUCCAAGGCUAAAUACUCCUGACUGACCGAUAGUGAACCAGUACCGUGAGGGAAAGGCGAAAAGAACCCCGGCGAGGGGAGUGAAAAAGAACCUGAAACCGUGUACGUACAAGCAGUGGGAGCCUCUUAAUGGGGUGACUGCGUACCUUUUGUAUAAUGGGUCAGCGACUUAUAUUCUGUAGCAAGGUUAACCGAAUAGGGGAGCCGAAGGGAAACCGAGUCUUAACUGGGCGUUAAGUUGCAGGGUAUAGACCCGAAACCCGGUGAUCUAGCCAUGGGCAGGUUGAAGGUUGGGUAACACUAACUGGAGGACCGAACCGACUAAUGUUGAAAAAUUAGCGGAUGACUUGUGGCUGGGGGUGAAAGGCCAAUCAAACCGGGAGAUAGCUGGUUCUCCCCGAAAGCUAUUUAGGUAGCGCCUCGUGAAUUCAUCUCCGGGGGUAGAGCACUGUUUCGGCAAGGGGGUCAUCCCGACUUACCAACCCGAUGCAAACUGCGAAUACCGGAGAAUGUUAUCACGGGAGACACACGGCGGGUGCUAACGUCCGUCGUGAAGAGGGAAACAACCCAGACCGCCAGCUAAGGUCCCAAAGUCAUGGUUAAGUGGGAAACGAUGUGGGAAGGCCCAGACAGCCAGGAUGUUGGCUUAGAAGCAGCCAUCAUUUAAAGAAAGCGUAAUAGCUCACUGGUCGAGUCGGCCUGCGCGGAAGAUGUAACGGGGCUAAACCAUGCACCGAAGCUGCGGCAGCGACGCUUAUGCGUUGUUGGGUA